rnacentral:rRNA from 1 species
UACGGAGGAUGCGUGCGUUAUCCGGAUUUAUUGGGUUUAAAGGGUGCGUAGGCGGGAUGCCAAGUCAGCGGUAAAAAUGCGGUGCUCAACGCCGUCGAGCCGUUGAAACUGGCGUUCUUGAGUGGGCGAGGAGUAUGCGGAAUGCGUGGUGUAGCGGUGAAAUGCAUAGAUAUCACGCAGAACUCCGAUUGCGAAGGCAGCAUACCGGCGCCCUACUGACGCUGAGGCACGAAAGCGUGGGUAUCAAACAGG